rnacentral:rRNA from 1 species
UGGGGAAUAUUGCACAAUGGGGGAAACCCUGAUGCAGCGACGCCGCGUGAGUGAGGAAGUAUUUCGGUAUGUAAAGCUCUAUCAGCAGGGAAGAAAAUGACGGUACCUGACUAAGAAGCCCCGGCUAACUACGUGCCAGCAGCCGCGGUAAUACGUAGGGGGCAAGCGUUAUCCGGAUUUACUGGGUGUAAAGGGAGCGUAGACGGAAUUGCAAGUCUGAUGUGAAAAUCCGGGGCCCAACCCCGGAAGUGCAUUGGAAACUGUAUUUCUAGAGUGUCGGAGAGGCAAGUGGAAUUCCUGGUG